UACGUAGGGACCAAGCGUUGUUCGGAUUUACUGGGCGUAAAGAGCUCGUAGGCGGCUUGUUGCGUCAGCUGUGAAAACCCGCAGCUCAACUGUGGGCUUGCAGCUGAUACGGGCGGGCUUGGAUUCGGUAGGGGAGACUGGAAUUCCUGGUGUAGCGGUGAAAUGCGCAGAUAUCAGGAGGAACACCGGUGGCGAAGGCGGGUUCUCUGGGCCGAUACUGACGCUGAGGAGCGAAAGUGUGGGGAGUCAAACAGG
rnacentral:rRNA from 1 species